GAUGAACGCUGGCGGCGUGCCUAAUACAUGCAAGUCGAGCGAACAGACGAGGAGCUUGCUCCUCUGACGUUAGCGGCGGACGGGUGAGUAACACGUGGAUAACCUACCUAUAAGACUGGGAUAACUUCGGGAAACCGGCGCUAAUACCGGAUAAUAUAUUGAACCGCAUGGUUCAAUAGUGAAAGACGGUUUUGCUGUCACUUAUAGAUGGUUCCGCGCCGCUUUAGCUAGUUGGUAAGGUAAAGGCCUAUCAAGGCAACCAUGCGUAUCCGACCGGAGAGGGUGAUCGGCCACACGGGAACUGAGACACGGUCCAGGCUCCUACGGGAGGCAGCAGUCGGGAAUCUUCCGCAAUGGGCGAAAGCCUUACGGAGCAACGCCGCGUGAGUUAUGAAGGUCUUCGGAUCGUAAAACUCUGUUAUUAGUGAAGAACAAAUGUGUAAGUAACUAUGCACGUCUUGACGGUACCUAAUCAGAAAGCCACGGCUAACUACGUG
rnacentral:rRNA from 1 species